GUUUAUGUUGUGGCCAUCUCUCCCGAAAAAAAAAGGGGGGAUGGCCAAUUGCAGUCGGUAUCUGAUGGCCAUGGGGCCACUAUACAGAAAUGAUGCCUGAUGAAUAUAAGAGGAAGGCAGUGCCUGUGAGAGGAAACUGGUCGGAAUAAUCAUUGAAAGCAGCUAUUAAUGCUGAAAAAAAUGAUGGAGUAUCCGUACACGUCUUCAGGACCAAAUACCUAGAAAAACAUUUGAAAGGAAGACAAAGAAAAUUAUUGACAAAAAUGGAUCUAUGGAACCAUCUACUUUAUUUGGAGAAGAGAAUCAGAAGAAAUUUGUUACUCAAAUUAAAACAAGGCUUUUCUUUAACGAUGAAUGACGUGAGAAAAAUAGUUUACGAAUCAGCCGAACAGUUGAAUUAAAGCAUAGACAUAUUGAUAUUACACUGAGGAAGUCAGAAGGAGUUUCUCUGGUUAGAGUCAACGCCAUGAAUAGAGCAGAAGUAAAUGCAUAUUUUCAACUGCUUCCCCACUGAACAUCUGCUAUGGACAAUGAAAAAGAAACUAUACCAGGUUGUUCUCAUGAACUAAGAAGUGAUACAAACUGUAGCCCUGAAAUUGUUUCUACAAAAUCAGACGUCUCCGUAAAAACUGCCACGAUGUCUAAUAUUUUACACCCAGCUCUUUAAAAAAGGCUUCGUUCAGUAAAUAUUAAGAUUACACCCCAUUUCGAAUUUUAGAAGAUAUUUCACCGAUUCCACCUAUUCUAUUUCACCCAUUCAUUAGAAAUUGUUACUUUUAUGUCCAUGAUAUUAUAUUUGAUUCUUUAAAGUUCAAUAAAAAAUAAAUAUAAUCAUUGAAA